rnacentral:rRNA from 1 species
UACGAAGGGGGCUAGCGUUGCUCGGAAUCAUUGGGCGUAAAGCGCGUGUAGGCGGUCCGGUAAGUCGGCUGUGAAAGUCCGGGGCUCAACUCCGGAUCUGCGGUGGGUACGGGCAGACUAGAGUGAUGUAGGGGAGACUGGAAUUCCUGGUGUAGCGGUGAAAUGCGCAGAUAUCAGGAGGAACACCGGUGCGAAGGCGGCCUC